rnacentral:tRNA from 1 species
GAGGGUAAGGCUCAGUGGUAGAGGGCGUGCUUAACAUGCAUGAGGUCCUGGGUUCAAUCUCCAGUACAUCA